GGGGAUUUUUGAGAUUGGGUUGGGUAACUGACCUGGCUUGAAGACUUCCGAAAUAAAAGUCCUUUACUUUGGAUCAGUGAAGGCAACGUUCUGUCAGAUGUCUGUUCGGCUUAGCCGACGGGAGCGCCGUCAACAUAUCCCUUUCUGCGAUAGUGGCCGUCAUGGUUGCUUUAGCUUCGCCAGUUUAGUCUGGUUUGAGGCUUGAGUGAUAUGACGGUCGGGUUUGGGCUAGUAGCUCAGUUGGUUAGAGCACACGCUUGAUAAGCGUGGGGUCGGAGGUUCAAGUCCUCCCUGGCCCACCACUGGCCGUGCUGCGAGAGCAGCGCUCUGGUUUUGGGGGCAUAGCUCAGCUGGGAGAGCACCUGCUUUGCAAGCAGGGGGUCGUCGGUUCGAACCCGUCUGCCUCCACCAAAAACCAGAUGACGCCUGAAUGUCAGAGCGUCCGGUAAGUGGUGUGAGACGAACUAUCGCAAGGGAGUGUAGAGAUCGGACACUUCGUUUUAUGGACCGCGGUGCGGCCUGAGACGGUGUUGUCUGGUAGUUGAUCUUUGUCAGUGUGAAUCGGUUGGUGCGUAUCUGUGCGUGCUGUUUUUCUGUGGGUUGUCUGACCCUCAGAUCCUGCGAGAGAUUUCAGGGUCUGUGAAAGCAGAAAUCAGCGUUAGCGACCAGAUGCGUUUUUAAAGAGAGAACGUGUGACGUGCUUGGAUGCGCCAUGCGGGAACUCAGACGUGUCACUUUGUGGCAUGGAUGGUUUCUGUGCAUGGGGCGAGUGACGCAAAGGGGGAAAUCUUUGGGGG
rnacentral:tRNA from 1 species